rnacentral:rRNA from 1 species
CAGAGGAUGUUUCUGGCGCGGUGCCUUCCGAGUUCCCUGGAACGGGACGCCAUAGAGGGUGAGAGCCCCGUAUGGUUGGAUACUAAGCCUGUGUGAAACUCCUUCGACGAGUCGAGUAGUUUGGGAAUGCUGCUCAAAAUGGGAGGUAAAUCUCUUCUAAAGCUAAAUAUUGGCCAGAGACCGAUAGCGCACAAGUAGAGUGAUCGAAAGAUGAAAAGCACCUUGAAAAGGGGGUUAAACAGUACGUGAAAUUGUUGAAAGGGAAGCGCUCAUGACCAGACUUGUGCUGGGCAGCUCAUCCGGGGUUCUCCCCGGUGCACUCUGCCCAGUUCAGGCCAGCAUCGAUUUUUGCUGGGGGAUAAGAACGGUAGGAACGUGGCCCUCCUUCGGGAGGGUGUUAUAGCCUGCCGUACGAUACCCUGGCGGAGAUCGAGGUUCGCGCAUCUGCAAGGAUGCUGGCGUAAUGGUCAUCAGCGACCCGUCUUGAAACACGGACCAAGGAGUCGUCCAUUAGAGCGAGCGUUUGGGUGUAAAACCCGCACGCGUAAUGAAAGUGAAAUUAGGUGAGAGCUUCGGCGCAUCAUCGACCGAUCCUGAUGUUCUCGGAAGGAUUUGAGUAAGAGUUUUAACGGACGGACCCGAAAGACAGUGAACUAUGCUUGUAUAGGGUGAAGCCAGAGGAAACUCUGGUGGAGGCUCGCAGCGGUUCUGACGUGCAAAUCGAUCGUCAAAUAUGAGCAUGGGGGCGAA